rnacentral:rRNA from 1 species
AGCGAACGCUGGCGGCAGGCUUAACACAUGCAAGUCGAACGCCAUCUUCGGAUGGAGUGGCAGACGGGUGAGUAACGCGUGGGAACGUACCCUUUGGUUCGGAACAACUCAGGGAAACUUGAGCUAAUACCGAAUGUGCCCUUCGGGGGAAAGAUUUAUCGCCAUUAGAGCGGCCCGCGUCUGAUUAGCUAGUUGGUGAGGUAAUGGCUCACCAAGGCGACGAUCAGUAGCUGGUCUGAGAGGAUGAUCAGCCACACUGGGACUGAGACACGGCCCAGACUCCUACGGGAGGCAGCAGUGGGGAAUCUUGCGCAAUGGGCGAAAGCCUGACGCAGCCAUGCCGCGUGAAUGAUGAAGGUCUUAGGAUUGUAAAAUUCUUUCACCGGGGACGGAUAAAUGACGGUACCCGGAGGAAGAAGCUCCGGCUAACUUCGUG